UACGGAGGGGGCUAGCGUUGUUCGGAAUUACUGGGCGUAAAGCGCACGUAGGCGGCUUUGCAAGUUAGAGGUGAAAGCCCAGGGCUUAACCCUGGAAUUGCCUUUAAGACUGCAUCGCUAGAAUCGUGGAGAGGUGAGUGGAAUUCCGAGUGUAGAGGUGAAAUUCGUAGAUAUUCGGAAGAACACCAGUGGCGAAGGCGACUCACUGGACACGUAUUGACGCUGAGGUGCGAAAGCGUGGG
rnacentral:rRNA from 1 species